GUUCUGUAGGGUAGGAGGAGAGAGAUGUUGCCUUAUCAGCUGCCUCCUCUCCCAUCAUCUAUUUCUGCAGAAGC
rnacentral:pre_miRNA from 1 species